AAAAGAUUAGGACCAGCGAUCUACCGAGCAAUUACACCAUCUCGGUGGAAGAUCUUUCUUACGUCAU
rnacentral:pre_miRNA from 1 species